GAUGAAGAACGUAGCGAAAUGCGAUACGUAAUGUGAAUUGCAAAUUCAGUGAAUCAUCGAGUCUUUGAACGCACAUUGCGCCCCCUGGUAUUCCGGGGGGCAUGCCUGUCCGAGCGUCAUUGCUGCCCUCAAGCACGGCUUGUGUGUUGGGCCCCGUCCUCCGAUCCCGGGGGACGGGCCCGAAAGGCAGCGGCGGCACCGCGUCCGGUCCUCGAGCGUAUGGGGCUUUGUCACCCGCUCUGUAGGCCCGGCCGGCGCUUGCCGAUCAACCCGAAUUUUUAUCCAGGUUGACCUCGGAUCAGGUAGGGAUACCCGCUGAACUUAAGCAUAUCAAUAAGCGGAGGA
rnacentral:misc_RNA from 1 species